rnacentral:rRNA from 1 species
GUGUCAGCCGCCGCGGUAAGACAGAGGGUGCAAACGUUGCUCGGAAUCACUGGGCAUAAAGCGCACGUAGGCCGUCUACUAAGUCCAAUGUGAAAUCCCCCGGCUCAACCGGGGAACUGCAUCGGAUACUGGUGGACUCGAGAGUUGUAGGGGUGGACGGAACUCCAGGUGGAGCGGUGAAAUGCGUAGAUAUCUGGAGGAACACCGGAGGCGAAAGCGGUCCACUGGGCAACUUCUGACGCUGAGGUGCGAAAGCUAGGGUAGCAAACGGGAUUAGAUACCCCAGUAGUCC